rnacentral:rRNA from 1 species
UACAGAGGUCUCAAGCGUUGUUCGGAUUCAUUGGGCGUAAAGGGUGCGUAGGGGGCGAGGUUAGUCAGGUGUGAAAUCUCGGGGCUCAACCCCGAAACUGCACUUGAUACUGCCUUGCUAGAGUACUGGAGAGGAGAUUGGAAUUUACGGUGUAGCAGUGAAAUGCGUAGAUAUCGUAAGGAAGACCAGUGGCGAAGGCGAAUCUCUGGACAGUUACUGACACUGAGGCACGAAGGCCAGGGGAGCAAACGGG